CUCGUCUAGGACAACCUUUCCGUCUGUGAGCAUUUGUAAUAGAACGUUUUCCAAGCAACACCAAUGCCUGCGUCCUUCGGUGACAAAGGGCCUGGAUGCAGUCUGGGGACAUAUCAAAUGAAGGUGCGUGCAAGUGACACUAAAGCUCCAGGACGUGAUGCAGAUGUCCGCAUAACUGGCUGGGACAAAGAGCGCAUCUGAGCCUCUGCAACUCUCUCAUCUCAGGACCUCUCAGACCCCUUGGAAGAGGAAAGGAGAGAUGGGGUUUCACCGUGUUAGCCAGGAU